rnacentral:rRNA from 1 species
AACGAACGCUGGCGGCAGGCCUAACACAUGCAAGUCGAACGCCGUAGCAAUACGGAGUGGCAGACGGGUGAGUAACACGUGGGAACGUACCUUUCGGUUCGGAAUAACUCAGGGAAACUUGAGCUAAUACCGGAUACGUGCGAGAGCAGAAAGAUUUAUCGCCGAAAGAUCGGCCCGCGUCCGAUUAGCUUGUUGGUGAGGUAAUGGCUCACCAAGGCGACGAUCGGUAGCUGGUCUGAGAGGAUGAUCAGCCACACUGGGACUGAGACACGGCCCAGACUCCUACGGGAGGCAGCAGUGGGGAAUAUUGGACAAUGGGCGAAAGCCUGAUCCAGCCAUGCCGCGUGAGUGAUGAAGGCCUUAGGGUUGUAAAGCUCUUUUGUCCGGGAAGAUAAUGACGGUACCGGAAGAAUAAGCCCGGCUAACUUCGUGCCAGCAGCCGCGGUAAU